AACCCGAAGCGUCUCAACCUAAGCCAAUCAGGUAAGGUUUUUUCGCCGCAGCCUUGAGCUGCCAGGGUCAUUCUGGAAACAGAUUGAUCUCCCGACUUUGGAAAGGUGUUGACU
rnacentral:ncRNA from 1 species